AGUAUGUAGAAGAGAAUGAAAGACUCAGAGCUAUUUUAGGAGAAUGGAGCACCCGAGCUGCCAAGGUACUAUUCAUAAUUAAGUGUAAUAUGUGAAUAUCCAUAUCGUUAGAAUAAUAUGUUGAGCUUUAUAGUUGUUGAAAUGUUCUGCUAAAACCUUUUAUUAAUGAUGUUAUGAAAGCUUGAGCGAGCAUUGGAGGCCGAGCGGAUGUCAAAUAUUGAAUUGCAAAGAAAGAUUCCAACAGUAAGAAGUCAAACACAUAUGUCGGUAGAAGCAACUGAUCAAGGAGCAUAAUUCACUAACCAGGUAAAUGGACAGAACCAGCGCUGUUGUGUGAAGAUCCAAUGUACCUUGUUCAUGUAGAGCAUUUCACCUUGUUCUCACUUUUAUAAACAUCAGUGAAUUUGUAUCCACAGAGCCAUUGCUCAUGUAGAGCAUUUCACCUUGUUCUCACUUUUAUAAACAUGCAGUGAAUUUGUAUCCACAGAGCCAUUGCUGUUUUGUGGAGAUCCAAUGUACAUAUAUUAGCUCCAAACAGGGUUUUAUUUUUGUGCUAAGAGAAUUGACAAUGAUCAAGUUUGAUUUUAAGCUGUGUCUUUUAUGCUCAACAUUUGCAUUUUUCUUAUCAAGUCUUUGGUUACAAAGAAGAAAG
rnacentral:lncRNA from 1 species